CACACUGCAGGCUCCUCUUGAGCUUUGCAUCAGCCCAGACCCCCAGGGCCUGUUCCUCAGGGCUGCUCUCAGCCGUUCCCCAUCCAGCCUGGAGUUGUGCUUGGGAUUGUGCCCACCCAGGUGCAGGACCUUGCACUUGGCCUUGAUGAAUGCCAUGAGGUUGGCCUGGGCGCACCUCUGCAGCCUGCCCAGUUUGUAACUGGGGCUGUAAAGAAUGGUUAUGCAUUGCCUGUGCUUCUGAUUUCAGGAGAGUCCCAUUUCAUUCUUGAUGCUUUCUUUAAGAGAGGCAUACAACUGAGCUCCCUCAGAGAAGCAGCAUGAAGUGCAUGAAGGAUGCUGGCUGCACUCAGUACAGACAAGGCACAUUGGAUUGACUACUUCUUCUCUGGCCUUUGGAGUGAAGGAAGGGAAAAACCAGAGUUGAAGAUGUCAGCUCUGUAAGUUUUCUCUGGGUGAUCAAAGCAUGCACAACAUCCUGUGCUUGUGCUCUGGAAGAUUCUAGGAGCUUCCCGGGGACUCAGGGAGCACAAGUUCUGGAUUUCUGUGGGCUGUCUCUAGAUGAACACCUGAGUGCAGUGAAUCUAAAAGCAGCUGUCUCUCAUUUGAAGUUAAAGUGAUGUGACUGAUCUGGUGCUUUAUAGGUGCCAAAAAGGAGACCUUCUUCACCUGCUUCUCCUGUGCAAGCUCUUCUGUCUGUCUGCUGAGAUGUUUCUGCCUGUUUCUCUGGCAGAGAAGUGUUUGCUUUUUUGGCUGGCGAGCUGACCAUCCGUACUACCGUCGCCUUGAAUGCCUCCAACCAGCAGUGUUUGCUGCCAGACAGACACCUGGAGAAGACAGAGGACAUGGUUAAGUUCAUGAAGGAUAUCUUGGAUGGUGCUGCUGAAGCACAGGCUGGUGAUGGACUUCUGCAACGAAGCAAGAGAGUCAUCUAUGAGGCCAAGGCUGCUGUAAUGGUAGAGUUCAUUGCUUAUUCAGUGAGGUGAUGCUCUUGUCAGUCAAGAAGGACUUAGUUGCAGAGGCUUUAGAAAUGCUUUGAUGUAAGCUUGUUGCUAUGCUGUGCCUAGUGUAUCUAUUGUCACUAUUUAGAACUAGGCUUAAACCAAAUGAACUUCUGGAUUAAAACAGCCAAUCAUGUCUGCCACA